rnacentral:miRNA from 1 species
CAGUUGAAUUUGAACUUCAGAGAAGCAAUGAAUAAUUUUUCAGUAUAAGUAUAUCCCAUGCAAUACUUAGGACAUACUUAUACUAAAAAUUACUUGUUUUCCAAAAAUGAUAAUGUAACU